rnacentral:rRNA from 1 species
GACGAACGCUGGCGGCGUGCUUAACACAUGCAAGUCGAACGGAAAGGCCCUGCUUGCCGGGUACUCGAGUGGCGAACGGGUGAGUAACACGUGGGUGAUCUGCCCUGCACUUCGGGAUAAGCCUGGGAAACUGGGUCUAAUACCGGAUAGGAGCCAUUUUUAGUGUGAUGGUUGGAAAGUUUUUUCGGUGUAGGAUGAGCUCGCGGCCUAUCAGCUUGUUGGUGGGGUAAUGGCCUACCAAGGCGGCGACGGGUAGCCGGCCUGAGAGGGUGGACGGCCACAUUGGGACUGAGAUACGGCCCAGACUCCUACGGGAGGCAGCAGUGGGAAAUAUUGCACAAUGGGCGCAAGCCUGAUGCAGCGACGCCGCGUGGGGGAUGACGGCCUUCGGGUUGUAAACUCCUUUCGCUAGGGACGAAGCUUUUUGUGACGGUACCUAGAUAAGAAGCACCGGCUAACUACGUG